UAAGAAAAGAAAACAUAUAAUGUUGUAAUAAGUGAUUCCCCCACUUUGAAUUCAACACUACGGGGAUAAAAUUGAUCCUCAAUAGAUUUAAUGAUAAGAAGCAAUAAACCCUUAAGGAGGAGGCUGGAAUACACAGGCUGCAAUUUACAGCCACUGGUGAGGGUUGACGUGGCGCGAGGAGAGCCAAAAAAUGGAUCAACGUAGGGUUCAACGUAAUUUCAUAGUUGACGGUGCCGUUAGAGUAAAAAUGUUUUACAGCCUUCCUCGUCAUCCACCACAAUCGAAUUGGAGUUCAUUCCAUCCUUUCCUCUCCAAACCCCUCUUCUCAGACCCCAAAUCACUUCUCUCUCCUGUAGCCACUGGACUUCAAAACCAAGGUCCCCAAAGCCGAAAAUUCAGCUCUAUCAUUGAGGUAGAAACGAGGGAGUAAAUGGCCUCAGUUCACUGAGGUAGGAAGGAGUCGAGGUACCUCCCUCUAGUACGCUCCCCAAAGCCAUAUCACCGAUCAUGGGAUUGCUUAAUCCUUUUCUCGCCUCUGCCGAAAAACCAAGAUUGGAUUCACAAAAACACAAGAUUGGGAGGUCAUCAACCAAGCAUGGAGCUGAUUCCAAGCAGAAAUCUGUUCACACUGUCACAAAAACUGAGGCUUCGGUUUGUACAGUUGGUGUCUUGAUAGCCAUAAUACUCAUUGUAUAAUAUGUGAUAUUGUUCGUGGGCAAGGUUUCGUGGUUAACGGUAUCCAGAUACUUGCGGUGAGGUGAAGCUUGGAUCGGAGUUGGUUGAAGGUGGUGGUUGGGUCGAGGAUUGGUGGCCAUCGUCAGUUUCGAUGGUUCCUGCAAGGACGCAAACUCAAAAUGGGCCUGGACUUGGUGGUACUUGGGCCUGGGCGUUUGCCAUGGGCUUGGGUUUUUUUGUUUUUACUUAUUUUGAAUUUUUUUUUUUAUGAAUGGUCUUGUGAUAAUUUAUUUUAAUAAACUACACUUUGUUAUC